rnacentral:tRNA from 1 species
UAGGAAGUGGUGUAUUGGAAGCACGAGGAGUUUUGAUCUCCUAGGGAGGGGUUCGAUCCCCCUUUUUCUAA